rnacentral:rRNA from 1 species
GACGAACGCUGGCGGCGUGCUUAACACAUGCAAGUCGAACGAAGUGGCGAACGGGUGAGUAACGCGUAAUCAACCUGCCCUUCAGAGGGGGACAACAGUUGGCAACGACUGCUAAUACCGCAUAGUGAAGGUGGGGAUUGCGUCUGAUUAGCUAGUUGGCGGGGUAACGGCCCACCAAGGCGAUGAUCAGUAGCCGGGCUGGGAGGGUGAACGGCCACAUUGGGACUGGGACACGGCCCAGAAUCCUACGGGGGGCAGCAGGGGGGAAUCUUUCGCAAUGGACGAAAGUCUGACGAAGCAACGCCGCGUGAGUGAUGACGGCCUUCGGGUUGUAAAGCUCUGUUAAUCGGGACGCGGUACCGGAAUAGAAAGCCACGGCUAACUACGUGCCAGCAGCCGCGGUAAUAC